rnacentral:snRNA from 1 species
AUUCAUACCUUGCAGGGGAAAUACCAUGUCAUAAAAAUGGUUUUCCCAAGGGGAGGCUCAUCCAUUGUACUUUGAUUCCUGUGAUUUCCCCAAAUGUGGGGAACUCAGCUGCAUAAUUUGUGUUAAUGGGAGAUUACAUUUGUGAUUUCCCU